GCAAGUCGAACGGAGUUAUAAGAGUAGUAAUACAAUUAUAAUUUAGUGGCGAACGGGUGCGUAACACGUGAGCAAUCUGCCGGGAAGUGUGGGAUAGCUCGCCGAAAGGCGAAUUAAUACCGCAUGUGGCUAGGGGUGGCAUCACUCUGAAGCCAAAGUCGCAAGACGCUUCCUGAUGAGCUCGCGGCCUAUCAGCUAGUUGGUGAGGUAACGGCUCACCAAGGCAAUGACGGGUAGCUGGUCUGAGAGGACGACCAGCCACACUGGAACUGAGACACGGUCCAGACACCUACGGGUGGCAGCAGUCGAGAAUUUUUCACAAUGGGGGAAACCCUGAUGGAGCGACGCCGCGUGGAGGACGAAGGUCUUCGGAUUGUAAACUCCUGUCAUGCGGGAACAAGAAAGUGAUAGUACUGCAAGAGGAAGAGACGGCUAACUCUGUGCCAGCAGCCGCGGUAAUACAGAGGUCUCAAGCGUUGUUCGGAUUCAUUGGGCGUAAAGGGUGCGUAGGUGGCGUGGAAAGUUGAGUGUGAAAUCCUAGGGCUUAACCUUAGAACUGCACUCAAUACUCCCAUGCUAGAGGAAUGUAGAGGAGAGUGGAAUUCACGGUGUAGCAGUGAAAUGCGUAGAUAUCGUGAGGAAGACCAGUUGCGAAGGCGACUCUCUGGGCAUCUCCUGACACUGAGGCACGAAGGCUAGGGGAGCAAACGGGAUUAGAUACCCCGGUAGUCCUAGCAGUAAACGGUGCACGUUUGGUGUGGGCAGGCUCAGACCCUGUCCGUGCCGGAGCUAACGCGUUAAACGUGCCGCCUGGGAAGUACGGUCGCAAGAUUAAAACUCAAAGAAAUUGACGGGGGCCCGCACAAGCGGUGGAGUAUGUGGCUUAAUUCGAUGCUACGCGAAGAACCUUACCUGGUCUUGACAUGCAUCUCUAAGGUAGUGAAAGCUAUCGAGCGUAGCAAUACACAAUUUGCACAGG
rnacentral:rRNA from 1 species